rnacentral:lncRNA from 1 species
ACUAAAAGAGAAUAGAUUCAACAUAGUAGAAGUAUCUUUAGAAAAAUGAAAUAUAUGUAUAUAUUUUUAACCGGUGAAGUCGUGGGCUGAGGCCAAGCGGAAGAAAGCAACAGCUACAGCCUACAGCGCGUCUUCAAAGGGAAGAAAGUAGCAGCACUGCACCAGUUGGCGCGCGCCAAAGGGCAAAGGCCACUGCGCUGGAGUAGUGUACUGUUCAGUGUGGGCGUGGCGCCGAAAGAUCUGCCCGUCCGUCCGUCUGCCGCCACGUGGGUGGGGUUAGUUGGCCUCGAAGGACGGUCGCGACGUCACCCCGUGGGCCCUGAAGAUUCCCGUGCUGCCAGCGUGUCCGACAGUCGCUGUCACGGGCCGGAUCCGGAAUCUCGAUAUUUCUGCAUUUCCGCUGCGGACGGCGGCCCCGCUUGUCAGAAACCGGAACUUCUCUCGUGCCAAGUGAUAAAUUAUAAUUAAAGCAUACGUGAUUUGUUAUUAAUGUACUGACUUCGUCUCAAAAUAAAAUAUAUUUUACCUUUUUACUUUAUUCAUACAAAAAUAAUAUAUUUAUUAUAUAUAUCUAAAUUUAUUAUCAUUCAUUUAAAUAUAGACAUAAAAAACAAGAGAUAAAGCGAUUAAUAUUUUAGGAUAAAGAGAGUAAAACAUUAUCACUUAUAUACAUUGUCAAAUAUAAAGAAAUUAAGUAUACAUCAAAAUUGAUAUAUUUAGUGAUCUUUUAACAAAUUAAUUAAUUAUUUCUAUCUUUGAGAAUUACAUGAAGACAUGGUCACAUGCAAGUUUAAUGGAUCCCCGCAGAAAACAAAGAUGGAGCAUACACCCACGUUUAUCGGUUGAGAAUUUUUUUCACCAUUUAUAUCCCAUGGAAAAGAAACUUCUCUGUUUUUAGACUAUUUUCGACAGCUUACAUAUCCGCGUACCUAUAUUUAAACUCCACUUUAAACAUACCUAUAUUUAAACUCUAUUUUAAACAGUGCAGUCUUCAGUACGAAACAGUAGUUUAAGAGAAGAAGAUUGUAGGAUUUAUAUUUUUCCAUUUAAAAUUAAAUAACUAGAGGACUUUAGUUAAUUCUAUUCCUUUUAAUCUUCUUACUUUAAAAUAAGCUCUAAUGAAAAAAUUCUCCAUAAAAAAUCACGGAUCGAAGACGCGAGACGGCUCGCGAGCCGGACCCGUCAGGCCGUCACUGCACCACAUGACAAACCCGGACCGAACACGGACGCCUCCCAGCAAGUGGUGACCCGUUUCUCCAUUCUCGCCGUCCGAUUAUAAAUGCGUCCGCAAAUGCCGCCAGUCCGCUCUCUCUCGCUGCGCCUCCGCCCCCAAAUCUGCGCAAAGGCCUCCCACUCAAAUUCCUCGCGGCGACCGAUAUGGUUGGGAGCGUGGGCAACGGGCUGGCCGAUCUGGGUGCAAGAGCCGUCUCCAUGAACGGGGCGGGGAAGGCGCUGCGUCCUGCCGAAGCGGCGGCGGCGGCCGCCGCCGCGGAGACGCUCCCGAUGGAGCUGGAUCCGUCGGAGGCCUUAGUGGCCGCUGCGGUGGAGGCGAAGGGCGAGAAGGCUGCCAACGGGAGGAGGGAGAUCGUGAUGGGGAGGAACGUACACACCUCCUGCUUCGC